UACGUAGGGGGCAAGCGUUGUCCGGAAUUAUUGGGCGUAAAGCGCGUGUAGGCGGCUCGGUAAGUCUGCUGUGAAAGUCCAGGGCUCAACCCUGGAAUGCCGGUGGAUACUGUCGAGCUCGAGUCCGGAAGAGGCGAGUGGAAUUCCUGGUGUAGCGGUGAAAUGCGCAGAUAUCAGGAGGAACACCAAUGGCGAAAGCAGCUCGCUGGGACGGUACUGACGCUGAGACGCGAAAGCGUGGGGAGCAAACAGG
rnacentral:rRNA from 1 species